ACACUGAUGGUGAAGUGGUUAUCAUGCUUGCCUUCCAUAUUCGAAAUCAAAGUAGCGUAAGCAAGCGGCAGGGGUUCGAUUCCCCUUCAGUGUA